rnacentral:rRNA from 1 species
UACAGAGGGUGCAAGCGUUAAUCGGAUUUACUGGGCGUAAAGGGUGCGUAGGUGGCUUGAUAAGUCAGGUGUGAAAUCCCCGAGCUCAACUUGGGAACUGCAUUUGAAACUGUCUGGCUUGAGUGUGGUAGAGGGUGGUGGAAUGCCAGGUGUAGCGGUGAAAUGCGUAGAUAUCUGGUGGAACAUCAGUGGCGAAGGCGACUACCUGGACCAACACUGACACUGAGGCACGAAAGCGUGGGUAGCAAACAGG